GAGUUUGAUCGUGGCUCAGGAUGAACGCUAGCGACAGGCUUAACACAUGCAAGUCGAGGGGCAGCGGGGGUAGCAAUACCCGCCGGCGACCGGCGCACGGGUGAGUAACACGUAUCCAACCUGCCCUUUACUCGGGGAUAGCCUUUCGAAAGAAAGAUUAAUACCCGAUAGCAUAAUGAUUCCGCAUGGUUUCAUUAUUAAAGGAUUCCGGUAAAGGAUGGGGAUGCGUUCCAUUAGGUUGUUGGUGAGGUAACGGCUCACCAAGCCUUCGAUGGAUAGGGGUUCUGAGAGGAAGGUCCCCCACAUUGGAACUGAGACACGGUCCAAACUCCUACGGGAGGCAGCAGUGAGGAAUAUUGGUCAAUGGGCGUUUAGCCUGAACCAGCCAAGUAGCGUGAAGGAUGAAGGCUCU
rnacentral:rRNA from 1 species